rnacentral:misc_RNA from 1 species
AUUUUACUUCUCCAUUAGCCCCAUAUGAGAGGGAUUGCCUUAAUAAUUCAUAGUUGAUCUUCUUGGUGUAAAAUCAAAUGGGCUGUUAUUAUAGGUUGUUGUGUCACAUCUUAGCAUGCACUUGAUUAACUCUUCCAGGAGUGUCAUAGUUUGCCUAAUGAAUAUGAUACCUUUAUAAUUUGUGCAACUUUGGCUGUUUCAGUUAUUCUUAAAAAUAGACACAAGGAUGCUUUUCCUCCGGUCACGAGGCUUUUGUUUUUGUUUUCCCCCCUUUUUCUAAUAUUAAUA